GAUGAACGCUGGCGGCGUGCCUAAUACAUGCAAGUCGAACGAACAGACGAGGAGCUUGCUCCUCCGACGUUAGCGGCGGACGGGUGAGUCACACGUGGAUAACCUACCUAUCAGACUGGGAUAAUUUCGGGAAACCGUAGCUACUACCGGAUAAUAUAUUGAACCUCAUGGUUCACUCGUGAAAGUCGCUUUUGGUGUCACUUAUAGACUGAUCCGCGCCCCAUUAGUUAGUUGGCAAGGUGACGGCUUAGCCAGGCAACGAUGCGUAGCCGACCUGAGGGGGUGAUUGGACACACUGGAACUGAGACACGGUCCAGACUCCGACGGGAGGCAGCAGUAGGGAAUCUUACGCGAUGGGCGAAAGCCUGACAGUGCAACGCCGCGGGAGGGAUGAAGGUGUACGGAUCGUAAAGCUCUGUUAUUAGGGAGGAACAAAUGUGUAAGUAACUAUGCACGUCUUGACGGUACCUAAUCAAAAAGCCACGGCUAACUACGUG
rnacentral:rRNA from 1 species